rnacentral:rRNA from 1 species
AUUGAACGCUGGCGGCAGGCCUAACACAUGCAAGUCGAGCGGUAACAGAGGAGCUUGCUCCUGCUGACGAGCGGCGGACGGGUGAGUAACGCGUGGGAAUCUGCCUAUUGGUGGGGGAUAGCCCGGAGAAAUCCGGAUUAAUACCGCAUAGUACCUAAGGGUUAAAGCAGGGGAUCUUCGGACCUUGCGCCAAUAGAUGAGCCCGCGUCAGAUUAGUUUGUUGGUGAGGUAAUGGCUCACCAAGACUGCGAUCUGUAGCUGGCCUGAGAGGGUGGUCAGUCACACUGGAACUGAGACACGGUCCAGACUCCUACGGAGCAGCAGUGGGGAAUAUUGGGCAAUGGGCGCAAGCCUGACCCAGGCCAUGCCGCGUGUGUGAAGAAGGCUUUCGGGUUGUAAAGCACUUUAAGUUGGGAGGAAGGUGCGACGGUUAAUACCCGUUGUAAUUGACGUUACCAACAGAAUAAGCACCGGCUAAUUCCGUGCCAGCCGCCGCGGUAA